AACGAACGCUGGCGGCAGGCCUAACACACGCAAGUCGAACGAUAAGCCACCUUCGGGUGGUGGACAGUGGCAGACGGGUGAGUAACGCGUGGGAACGUGCCUUUCGGUUCGGGAUAACCCAGGGAAACUUGGGCUAAUACCGGAUACGCCCUUCGGGGGAAAGAUUCAUUGCCGAAAGAUCGGCCCGCGUCGGGUUAGCUUGUUGGUGGGGGAAUGGCCUACCAGGGCGACGAUCCGUAGAUGGUCUGAGAGGAUGACCAGCCACACUGGGACUGAGACACGGCCCAGACUCCUACGGGAGGCAGCAGUGGGGAAUAUUGGACAAUGGGCGAAAGCCUGAUCCAGCCAUGCCGCGUGGGUGAAGAAGGCCUUAGGGUUGUAAACCCCUUUCAGCGGGGACGAUAAUGACGGUACCCGCAGAAGAAGUCCCGGCUAACUCCGUGCCAGCCGCCGCGGUAA
rnacentral:rRNA from 1 species